UGGCUCCCGGCUGUAAUCCCAGCACUUUGGGAGGCCGAGGCGGGUGGAUCACGAGGUCAAGAAAUCGAGACCUUCCUGGUCAACAUGGUGAAACCCCGUCUUUACUAAAAAUACAAAAAAUUAGCUGGGCAUGGUGGCACGUGCCUGUAAUCCCAACUACUCAGUAGGCUGAGGGAGGAGAAUUACCUGAACCCAGGAGGCGGAGGUUGCAGUGAGCCGAGAUCGCGCCAUUGCACUCCAGCCUGGGUAACAAGAGCGAAACUGCAUCUCAAAAAAAUAAUAAUAAUAAUAAUAAAUAAAAUAAAUAAAUAAUGUUUUAAGUAGCGUAAUUUAAAUAUGUUUUUAAAUAAUACAGAAAAAAUAGGUUGUAAUCUUAGCCUAGCUUGCUAUUUUGCUUGUAGAAUGUUCUAAGUGCGUGACAAUUCCUGUGUAGCAUCAUAAAACACAUUCCUGUCAGUGCCUGGGGAUAAACGGUUAACCAUUUCGUUUCUGAUUUUUUGUUAACUGCAUGUGGUAUUGAGGCUGGGGGAAGACAAAUGAAGAAAAAUAUUUUGAAAAUGAAAAAUAGGAGGGCUGAGUCACAAGACUGAAACAACAACAAUAGUAUGGACCAGCUGGGGAGACAGAAACUCAGGAGAAAGCCUGACCUAUUAAAAUGUGACAUUGUACAAGCUAUGGGUAAGGGAUGAACAAGCUGCAAUGGGAACAUGGAUGAAGGAGCAACUAUGUCCACAAUUUGAAUUUCUCUUCCAAAAUCAGAGAGGGAAGUAGCAUGAAAGAAGGAAAAUCUGAAGAUAGGCCAUGGCAUCAUUAGAUACAGAAGAAAAUAUACAUUGUAUUGAUAGAAAAUUAAUGAGUUUUGUUGGAUUUUUAAAUCAAGGGAAAACUUGGGCAUGACAUACUGUGUUC
rnacentral:lncRNA from 13 species